CAUAUUCCACUUCAGUGAUCUUCCUUUUAAUUUUGUCAAUUAGAUAAUUAAACUAUCAAUUUUUUCUAAUUGCAACAAAUUGAACACACCACGUCAGAAAUUGUAGACGUGGCUAAUUAUGUGGGGGCUUUAAGAAGCUUAUGUGACAAAACAAUUAUUUUUUAUUCAUUACAUAAAUAAAUCUGUUUAAAUUAAAGGCAAAAUAGUCAAAACCUAAUUUAACAUCUCUAACUAAAAUAAAACAAACAUUAAAAAUAGAUAUAAUCCAAACAGAUCUCUCGUAAUCUAUCUCAAUUCAUUCUCUCUCGUUGACUGUCUUCUUCCUCCCCCUCUUUCUCUCUCUCUCAUCUCACCCAUUAAUGUAAUCCAAACAGAUCUACAUAGUUCACAUGAAGCACCAUCAGAUCUCACUCCUCCUCUCCUCUGAUUCCCACUCUACACCUACACGACCGCCUACCACGGCUUCGCCGUCGCUCUCAACCCCGUGGUCCUCACUGGCUAAUGUGGCGCCGUGGAUCAUAACCGCCGGUGCCAGAACUUUAGAUCGGGAUUUCCCGCCGUGGACGCAGCUUCGGCAUCGGCUUAACUGGAACCACUGACCGAAAAAUGGAGAAGCCAUCGACGAUGUUACGCUGCUAAAUAUAUACAGAGGAGAUAGCGAGGAUCCAGAGGACUAUGAAUAGAAUUCUGUGAGUGGAAAAAAACGUCGGAAUCCAGCGCCGGUGGUGAAAAUAGAACCGCCACGAGGACGGCGGCGUAACAGAUUCCAUCCUCAUCAAUAAAUAUAAAAAAUCAAAAUCAAAAGAGUGAUGGAGAAGUUGGAAUUGGUAGUGAAGGGAAAAAGUUGGAAUUCAUAUGAAUGAAUUUGGGUCAAAUAAAUGAAAAUAAUAGAUCUGAAAUUAAGGUUUGGUGAAGAAAGGUUGAGCUAGAUUUUUUUCGUUCAAUUUGGGGGUUGGAGAUCGUAAUGGAUUUGUACUGAUAUAUGAUUGUUUUAAUUUAAUUAAAAAUGUUAAAUUAGGUUUUGAUCAUUUUGCCCUUUAUUUAAAUAGAUUUGUUUAUGUAAUGAAUAAAAAAUAGUUUUUUUUGUCACAUAAGUUUUUUAAGGCCCCACAAUUAGUCACGUCAACAAUUUUUGACGUGGCGUGUUCAAUUUGUU
rnacentral:lncRNA from 1 species